CAAGUGCUCAAUUAGCUGAGCUAAUAGCUCUAACAAGACCACUUGAGAUAAGCGAGGGAAAGGUAGCUAACAUUUUUACUGACUCCAAGUACUCUUUCCUGAUUCUCCAUGCUCAUGCUGCCAUUUGGAAGAAAAGACAUUUUCUUACCAUCAAUGGAUCUCCAGGAAAUAUCACCAAGAAAUUAACAGGAAUCAUCUCCUGGAUGCACCACACUCAAGUCAAAGCCUAAAAAGCUAAGGGAGCAACCCCUGAAAGCCCAGAGGAAAGUCCUGAAUCUCAAUGUGGAGAAAUAGAAGACCUUAGGCUGAAAAUCAUGAAAGAUAAGUAACUGGGGAAGGGCUGCUCAUCUUACUCAGUCCCACUGCUACCUCACCAGACUUUUUAUUAUUUCUGCCCUUCCCUCUCAAAAUUUGCCACCAAAUAUUAGAACUUCUUUUUAACACAUAUUUGCAGGGAGAAUUUAAUUAUACAUGGGAUUGCAUUUGUAACUUUGUAGCUUCCCAAAGAGAAAUGUUGUCUUGGCAAGUAAAGUUUUAAAUGGAAAUUAUUUACUACGUCACUCUCAUGGGAAUUGUUAUAGUCACGCUACUAUUUGCAAUAGAACUAUACACUAUGACACCCACGAUGUGGAAUUCUGGUUGUAAAAUUCUAAUUGCUGUAAUAUUUUGCCUCAUUAUACUUAGAGCAGGAUAAGUAGUUACAGGAAAGAUUUCGUCAAGGUUGUUUUGCUUACAGCAGGAGUAAUAGUUUUUACUAUCAUUAAGUUUGACGGGACUUUUUACCGAAGGUUGCUAAUGUGAUGCACUCUAAGCUAUGAAAAGGUUAUAGAGAAAGAGAUUUUAUAUAAGGAAGGAUCUUGUUUGGUAAAUUCUUGUCCUAAAAGGAAAUGACCGGUUGUUUAGAGAAAGAAUGUUUAGGACAAGUCAGAAAGUUUAAGUCUGUUGUAAGAGGGUCUGUGAAAGUCAUGAAAAAAUUUAAUAAUUAAAGGAAAGGAAUUGUCAAGAUUAAUGCCAAAGUUAUUUAGCCACCGAAUAAUGUAUCUCUCCCAAUCAUACUGCAAGUUAUAAAAAUUGCCUAAGCCUAAAGUUAUUCUCCAAUGGCAAGUCAAGGGGGAAAUGUAUGCUCUUCUCAAGGAAAAUGUUGCUUUUAUAUUAAUGUUUCUGGUAAUGUACAUAAACAUCUAGUGGAGGCAAACUGGUGUUGCAAUACAUGGGUGUAACUAACAAGAGUCAAAUUACACUGUUAGUUAUAGUCUAUAGGACCCCCACUAACAGUGAUAAUUUUAAUACUCAUAAUCCAACCCUAUAUUUUUAACCUUCUUGUAAAAUUUAUCUCUUUUCACCUAGAAACGAUCAAACUCAAAAUGGUGCUGCAAACAGAGCCCCACAUGGACAAGCCAUUCUUCCAAGUACCCUUAAAUCCACCUCAGGAGAAGACCCAACUGCUGUUCCCCGACAUGACGCCCCUUUUCAUCAGGAAGUAGCCAGAAAUAAUUGUCGUCCAACACCCACUAACAACAGUUAGGUUUACUUCUCUUGAGGGGGGAAUAAUACAGGAGUUAUUAAGAAAUAAUUCUAGGCAGAUAUAGAGGGUAAAAGUUCUUGAUAAGACUUUUUCUUUUAAUAAAAACAGCUCCCGAAACAUUUCUUUUCUAACAGAAAGGCGGUUUGGAAAGCCAGGCUGGCAAGUAUUAACAUGCUAAUGCUGGUGAUUAGAAACUAGGUCUAACCAACAUGGCCAGCUUGGUGAUUCUCACCCUUUUCUUGUCAGCACGUGUGCCAGGCAUCAUGGCCACCCCUAGCUAUCUCCACGGGUGCAGGACAUCUGGUGGCCUGCAUUUGCAUAUUAAGAGCCUGGGGUGGGAGGGUCAGGUUUUUCUGGGCUAUGUGAAAUACACACCUGGUCAAACCAAUCCACUGGGCCGUAUGCAAAUCAGACACUGCUUUCUCCAGCUUCCCAAUAUUACCGACCACUUUUUCGCAGCAGCACACAGGGUUUCUCUCUUGGGAACCCCGCUCCCUCUAUCUCUGUAGCGGGGAGCUUUUUUUUCUUCUUUCUUGACUAUUAAA
rnacentral:lncRNA from 10 species